rnacentral:rRNA from 2 species
ACUAAGCGUACACGGUGGAUGCCCUGGCAGUCAGAGGCGAUGAAGGACGUGCUAAUCUGCGAUAAGCGUCGGUAAGGUGAUAUGAACCGUUAUAACCGGCGAUUUCCGAAUGGGGAAACCCAGUGUGAUUCGUCACACUAUCAUUAACUGAAUCCAUAGGUUAAUGAGGCGAACCGGGGGAACUGAAACAUCUAAGUACCCCGAGGAAAAGAAAUCAACCGAGAUUCCCCCAGUAGCGGCGAGCGAACGGGGAGCAGCCCAGAGCCUGAAUCAGUGUGUGUGUUAGUGGAAGCGUCUGGAAAGGCGCGCGAUACAGGGUGACAGCCCCGUACACAAAAAUGCACAUGCUGUGAGCUCGAUGAGUAGGGCGGGACACGUGGUAUCCUGUCUGAAUAUGGGGGGACCAUCCUCCAAGGCUAAAUACUCCUGACUGACCGAUAGUGAACCAGUACCGUGAGGGAAAGGCGAAAAGAACCCCGGCGAGGGGAGUGAAAAAGAACCUGAAACCGUGUACGUACAAGCAGUGGGAGCCUCUUUAUGGGGUGACUGCGUACCUUUUGUAUAAUGGGUCAGCGACUUAUAUUCUGUAGCAAGGUUAACCGAAUAGGGGAGCCGAAGGGAAACCGAGUCUUAACUGGGCGUUAAGUUGCAGGGUAUAGACCCGAAACCCGGUGAUCUAGCCAUGGGCAGGUUGAAGGUUGGGUAACACUAACUGGAGGACCGAACCGACUAAUGUUGAAAAAUUAGCGGAUGACUUGUGGCUGGGGGUGAAAGGCCAAUCAAACCGGGAGAUAGCUGGUUCUCCCCGAAAGCUAUUUAGGUAGCGCCUCGUGAAUUCAUCUCCGGGGGUAGAGCACUGUUUCGGCAAGGGGGUCAUCCCGACUUACCAACCCGAUGCAAACUGCGAAUACCGGAGAAUGUUAUCACGGGAGACACACGGCGGGUGCUAACGUCCGUCGUGAAGAGGGAAACAACCCAGACCGCCAGCUAAGGUCCCAAAGUCAUGGUUAAGUGGGAAACGAUGUGGGAAGGCCCAGACAGCCAGGAUGUUGGCUUAGAAGCAGCCAUCAUUUAAAGAAAGCGUAAUAGCUCACUGGUCGAGUCGGCCUGCGCGGAAGAUGUAACGGGGCUAAACCAUGCACCGAAGCUGCGGCAGCGACGCUUAUGCGUUGUUGGGUAGGGGAGCGUUCUGUAAGCCUGCGAAGGUGUACUGUGAGGUAUGCUGGAGGUAUCAGAAGUGCGAAUGCUGACAUAAGUAACGAUAAAGCGGGUGAAAAGCCCGCUCGCCGGAAGACCAAGGGUUCCUGUCCAACGUUAAUCGGGGCAGGGUGAGUCGACCCCUAAGGCGAGGCCGAAAGGCGUAGUCGAUGGGAAACAGGUUAAUAUUCCUGUACUUGGUGUUACUGCGAAGGGGGGACGGAGAAGGCUAUGUUGGCCGGGCGACGGUUGUCCCGGUUUAAGCGUGUAGGCUGGUUUUCCAGGCAAAUCCGGAAAAUCAAGGCUGAGGCGUGAUGACGAGGCACUACGGUGCUGAAGCAACAAAUGCCCUGCUUCCAGGAAAAGCCUCUAAGCAUCAGGUAACAUCAAAUCGUACCCCAAACCGACACAGGUGGUCAGGUAGAGAAUACCAAGGCGCUUGAGAGAACUCGGGUGAAGGAACUAGGCAAAAUGGUGCCGUAACUUCGGGAGAAGGCACGCUGAUAUGUAGGUGAAGUCCCUUGCGGAUGGAGCUGAAAUCAGUCGAAGAUACCAGCUGGCUGCAACUGUUUAUUAAAAACACAGCACUGUGCAAACACGAAAGUGGACGUAUACGGUGUGACGCCUGCCCGGUGCCGGAAGGUUAAUUGAUGGGGUUAGCGGUAACGCGAAGCUCUUGAUCGAAGCCCCGGUAAACGGCGGCCGUAACUAUAACGGUCCUAAGGUAGCGAAAUUCCUUGUCGGGUAAGUUCCGACCUGCACGAAUGGCGUAAUGAUGGCCAGGCUGUCUCCACCCGAGACUCAGUGAAAUUGAACUCGCUGUGAAGAUGCAGUGUACCCGCGGCAAGACGGAAAGACCCCGUGAACCUUUACUAUAGCUUGACACUGAACAUUGAGCCUUGAUGUGUAGGAUAGGUGGGAGGCUUUGAAGUGUGGACGCCAGUCUGCAUGGAGCCGACCUUGAAAUACCACCCUUUAAUGUUUGAUGUUCUAACGUUGGCCCCUAAUCGGGGUUGCGGACAGUGUCUGGUGGGUAGUUUGACUGGGGCGGUCUCCUCCUAAAGAGUAACGGAGGAGCACGAAGGUUGGCUAAUCCUGGUCGGACAUCAGGAGGUUAGUGCAAUGGCAUAAGCCAGCUUGACUGCGAGCGUGACGGCGCGAGCAGGUGCGAAAGCAGGUCAUAGUGAUCCGGUGGUUCUGAAUGGAAGGGCCAUCGCUCAACGGAUAAAAGGUACUCCGGGGAUAACAGGCUGAUACCGCCCAAGAGUUCAUAUCGACGGCGGUGUUUGGCACCUCGAUGUCGGCUCAUCACAUCCUGGGGCUGAAGUAGGUCCCAAGGGUAUGGCUGUUCGCCAUUUAAAGUGGUACGCGAGCUGGGUUUAGAACGUCGUGAGACAGUUCGGUCCCUAUCUGCCGUGGGCGCUGGAGAACUGAGGGGGGCUGCUCCUAGUACGAGAGGACCGGAGUGGACGCAUCACUGGUGUUCGGGUUGUCAUGCCAAUGGCACUGCCCGGUAGCUAAAUGCGGAAGAGAUAAGUGCUGAAAGCAUCUAAGCACGAAACUUGCCCCGAGAUGAGUUCUCCCUGACUCCCUGAGAGUCCUGAAGGAACGUUGAAGACGACGACGUUGAUAGGCCGGGUGUGUAAGCGCAGCGAUGCGUUGAGCUAACCGGUACUAAUGAACCGUGAGGCUUAACC